rnacentral:rRNA from 1 species
AUUGAACGCUGGCGGCAUGCCUUACACAUGCAAGUCGAACGGCAGCACGGGAGCAAUCCUGGUGGCGAGUGGCGAACGGGUGAGUAAUAUAUCGGAACGUGCCCAGUCGUGGGGGAUAACGCAGCGAAAGCUGUGCGAAUACCGCAUACGAACUACGGAUGAAAGCGGGGGGUCGCAAGACCACGCGCGAUUGGAGCGGCCGAUAUCAGAUUAGCUAGCUGGUGAGGGAAAGGCUAACCAAGGCGACGAUCUGUAGCUGGUCUGAGAGGACGACCAGCCACACUGGAACUGAGACACGGUCCAGACUCCUACGGGAGGCAGCAGUGGGGAAUUUUGGACAAUGGGCGCAAGCCUGAUCCAGCAAUGCCGCGUGCAGGAUGAAGGCCUUCGGGUUGUAAACUGCUUUUGUACGGAACGAAACGGCGAGCUCUAAUACAGUUUGCUAAUGACGGUACCGUAAGAAUAAGCACCGGCUAACUACGUGCCAGCAGCCGCAGUAACAC